rnacentral:rRNA from 1 species
AAUACAGAGGGGGCAAGCGUUGUUCGGAAUUACUGGGCGUAAAGGGCGCGUAGGCGGCCUGCUAAGUCGAACGUGAAAUCCCCGGGCUCAACCCGGGAACUGCGUCCGAUACUGGCAGGCUUGAAUCCGGGAGAGGGAUGCGGAAUUCCAGGUGUAGCGGUGAAAUGCGUAGAUAUCUGGAGGAACACCGGUGGCGAAGGCGGCAUCCUGGACCGGCAUUGACGCUGAGGCGCGAAAGCCAGGGGAGCAAACGGGA